AGAGUUUGAUCAUGGCUCAGAUUGAACGCUGGCGGCAGGCCUAACACAUGCAAGUCGAGCGGAAACGAGUUAACUGAACCUUCGGGGAACGUUAACGGCGUCGAGCGGCGGACGGGUGAGUAAUGCCUAGGAAAUUGCCCUGAUGUGGGGGAUAACCAUUGGAAACGAUGGCUAAUACCGCAUGAUGCCUACGGGCCAAAGAGGGGGACCUUCGGGCCUCUCGCGUCAGGAUAUGCCUAGGUGGGAUUAGCUAGUUGGUGAGGUAAGGGCUCACCAAGGCGACGAUCCCUAGCUGGUCUGAGAGGAUGAUCAGCCACACUGGAACUGAGACACGGUCCAGACUCCUACGGGAGGCAGCAGUGGGGAAUAUUGCACAAUGGGCGCAAGCCUGAUGCAGCCAUGCCGCGUGUGUGAAGAAGGCCUUCGGGUUGUAAAGCACUUUCAGUCGUGAGGAAGGUAGUGUAGUCAAUAGCUGCAUUAUUUGACGUUAGCGACAGAAGAAGCACCGGCUAACUCCGUGCCAGCAGCCGCGGUAAUACGGAGGGUGCGAGCGUUAAUCGGAAUUACUGGGCGUAAAGCGCAUGCAGGUGGUUUGUUAAGUCAGAUGUGAAAGCCCGGGGCUCAACCUCGGAAUAGCAUUUGAAACUGGCAGACUAGAGUACUGUAGAGGGGGGUAGAAUUUCAGGUGUAGCGGUGAAAUGCGUAGAGAUCUGAAGGAAUACCGGUGGCGAAGGCGGCCCCCUGGACAGAUACUGACACUCAGAUGCGAAAGCGUGGGGAGCAAACAGGAUUAGAUACCCUGGUAGUACACGCCGUAAACGAUGUCUACUUGGAGGUUGUGGCCUUGAGCCGUGGCUUUCGGAGCUAACGCGUUAAGUAGACCGCCUGGGGAGUACGGUCGCAAGAUUAAAACUCAAAUGAAUUGACGGGGGCCCGCACAAGCGGUGGAGCAUGUGGUUUAAUUCGAUGCAACGCGAAGAACCUUACCUACUCUUGACAUCCAGAGAACUUUUCAGAGAUGAAUUGGUGCCUUCGGGAACUCUGAGACAGGUGCUGCAUGGCUGUCGUCAGCUCGUGUUGUGAAAUGUUGGGUUAAGUCCCGCAACGAGCGCAACCCUUAUCCUUGUUUGCCAGCGAGUAAUGUCGGGAACUCCAGGGAGACUGCCGGUGAUAAACCGGAGGAAGGUGGGGACGACGUCAAGUCAUCAUGGCCCUUACGAGUAGGGCUACACACGUGCUACAAUGGCGCAUACAGGGGGCGGCCAACUUGCGAAAGUGAGCGAAUCCCAAAAAGUGCGUCGUAGUCCGGAUUGGAGUCUGCAACUCGACUCCAUGAAGUCGGAAUCGCUAGUAAUCGUGGAUCAGAAUGCCACGGUGAAUACGUUCCCGGGCCUUGUACACACCGCCCGUCACACCAUGGGAGUGGGCUGCAAAAGAAGUAGGUAGUUUAACCUUCGGGGGGACGCUUACCACUUUGUGGUUCAUGACUGGGGUGAAGUCGUAACAAGGUAACC
rnacentral:rRNA from 1 species